UCAAAGCUUACUUCUUUAAUGCUCCUGGUUUUAUUGUGUGUGAUUCAUCAGUGCAUGUUAUUCUAAAGAAAACAAAGUUUGUCUUUGUAUUUUUUCCCCCAUAAAAAUGUAAUAACUUUGAAACACAAUAUUUUUCAGCUCAUGUCUCCAAGAAGUCUUGGUUCCGACCACUUGGCCACUUUUCCUUCAAUUCAACGGCUCCAUUCUGCCUCUCCCAGAUCAGCAUGCAAAGAUCCGGCUAAGACUCUGGAAGCCCAAGAGCUGGCAGAUAUUAAGACUGGGAUCGAUUUCAUGGAACAUCACCUUGCGGAAAGUGUUUAAUCACCUUCUGUGAGAUGGUCUGGUCAAUGAAAGAAUGGAGGAGAACUUCACUGGAUGCUGAUGGGCUGGGUUCAUCCGAGAAGUGAGAAGCGCCAUCAGUGUUGGUUUUGUCUGGUCAGGUCCAAGGAACAGAUGGUCUUGUCAGAGUUACGGUUGUUUGCCAGUGAAGUCCAGGUAUUGCGUGUUUUCAGGAUUCAAAAGAAAAGGAGAAUACAAUUGAUCUGGAUAGAUUUAUAUUGAAUGCUAGAUAAAGGCUACAAGGAGAAGUUUGUCAUUACUCACUUUUGAGUCACAAAAGUCUUUUUUCAUUUUUGUCUUGAAGACAAGAAUUUCAAUUUUGAGGUGAGCUUUGGUUUAGGAGUUGAAGCCAGGUCGCAAGUGUGGGAUACUUGGAGAAAAUGCAUAGCUAGUGAACAAGUGAGUGAAGAUUACUUUAAGAUGAAUGACUUGCUAUUUAAAUCAUUUACAGGUGACCAUCCAAUUAAAGUGCUUCUAAGGAUCAGAGGUGUGGCCGCAAACAUCAAUUGUCUUCUAUCUGCUAAAGCUAGAGUCGCUCUUAAAGAAGUCUAGCAGUCAGUAAAUUAAAUGCUACUUAUCUAUGUUGUUCCCUUUAAAGUUGUUUAUCUUUUGUCAGGAAUUCUGUUCGGCUCUGUUUGCCUUGCUUAUCAUCAAAAUUAAACCUGCAGGAAAAAUAUUAAAAGGUAAUUUCCCUUAAUGAAGGCAUUAAUAAUUUAGCACUUUUUUAGGUGGAUGGUGGAGAAAAGAAGAUUGGAUUUAAGUGAGAUAAAGACGAUAAACAAGUCCAUCAUGGUAUUAUUAUCCAUUAUUCUGAAUGUAAAACACUAUAUUCAGAAAACUAUAAAGCUAAAAAGGCAUUGCUUUCAUUAUGUCCCGGCUUUCUUUUUCGUUCUUGUAACAAUUUAUAUUUAAAAUGUGUAUUUAUGCUUCCUCAAGCCACCAAUGGAGGGCGAUAUUCUCCAUGAGAAAUCAGUUUAUCUCUCUAAACAGAAUAGGCCGAUAAGAUGAUCUCUUUAUUCUAAAACUUAGAGAUGUAUUUAUUUAUACAUUUUUGUAAGGGGACAGAUACAGUACAUGAUAGAUUCACUAAACCAAAUUUAUACUGUAUGUUGCAAAGGUUUAAUGGACAGACAGCGAGAAUCAUUGCUGCAGAAAAAAGGGGAAUUUUGUCCAUCUUUUGUUUCAUUAUUUUAAUAUCGAACAAGCAAAAUAUGAUGCCUCGCCUAACACAAAAUCUGAUAUCAAUUCAUAAGAAUCUGACUCUAGCUGUUAGCUGAUAGGCGUAAUCACUAAACAUGCUUUUCCGUCAUAUUACAUAAUUUACAGGUACGUGGGUGCCCGCAGCCACGUUUCUAGCCAGAAAAGUUUUAUGGACUGUGCUAAAGGUCCCUUUUUUCCACCAGACAAUCUUCAAUUCUUUAAUGUAAAUGUCAACCCAAACAAGAUAGAGCCCAACUGUGUGUGUUUAUAAUCAAUAUUUUUUUACGCUGUAAAGGCUGUAAUCUUCCAAAGCUUCUCCUCCUUGAUUUGUGCUUAUCGUGGAAGGUCAUAUCUCAUAGAAGCACAGAUCGUGAGCCGGUGAGGCAGAGGAAGAGAGAUAGCAAGAAAGAAUGGAGUUAAAUUAACGAUAAUAUCAGACUGACAGCGACUCUACCGAGCGCCGGGCGUCGUGAGAAGGCCCGACGGCGCGGCGGGGAGGGGGAAGAAGGCAAUAAAAAGUUUUCCGAGCCGUCGUGCCCCUUCAAUUUGCAUGCUUAAUGAUGCUGAUCAGGAGUUAAUAGUGGGUGUAAUGACUUCUGACUGACCGGGCCUUGGACUGGACCACGGGCUGUGCCACCAGAGCAGGGGAGGGGAGGGGUUAACACACACCAUACUGCUUCUCUCCCUCCCUCCCUCUCUCUCUCUCUCUCUCGCUCUCUCUCUCUCUCUGCUGUCUUUGGUGAGAUAACACAGCUUGCCUCUGUGGUCUUGUCUUAUUAAACAUGUUAUCAUUGCCUGUAACCUUUCUCUCCUGUUCCUUCCUUUCAAAAUAGAGGAAAAGCCGCCUUUGUCUAGGUUUAUUCAGCGACCUAUCUGACCCACCGAUAGAAAAAAGGCGACUUGAAAGAAAUCAAAUGGCAAUUCCUGUCGACGUUAAUGUGCUCUUUUGUUCCGAGAGGAACGCCUUUGUGGGUAUUCGGCGCUCUUGGUCUGUUUAGUCAGGCUGUGGAUAUUCUGGAUUGUCAGCAACAUGUCCUCUGUGUAGAUACAGACGCCUAAACAUACACCGGCUUUUGAAUUUCCACAGGACAUACGGCGAAUGGAAAUCUUGUUUUCAGAUAAGAAGGAAAGGACAGAGUUCAAGAAAACCACUCUAUUAAAGACCAGAUAAUGGUAUUGUCUGUGCAAUGUGACAUAUUUCUGUGCUUUUGGGCGUAGCGGUGCUUAACAAAGUGACAUCAACUUCUUGCCUGGCACAAAUUAAACCGUUUUUUUGUCGUUUUUUUUCAUGGGUGUGAACGUAGAUCCUUUUGACAACAUUGUUCUCUGUUUGUGUUUUUUUGUACAUUUUUGUCAUGCAAAUGUAUCCAUAAAUCACAUUUGUCACAGAGCACAUACCAUUGAACCAUUUGGUAUCUUCAACAGACAAUUAUACAAAAACUGAGAUCGACAUUUCAGUCAUUUCAGUGUUUGAUCAUUUUCAAAAUACUUCGGCAAAAAAUAUUGAAAUACAACAAUCUCAGCCAAUAUCCGCUUUGUUUUGUAUUCGGUUAAUAGACCGUCAUCAUUUCCAAUGAUUUGUGAUGCCUCUCUGGCAUAAUGUGACCGAUUGUUGAACAGCUGUGUCACAGUGACCAGUACCCAUAAUCCAUUGUGACACGCGUUUUCCACUUUAAUCAUAAUUGCACACAUGUGCUCAAAGAGCAAAUAUCAGUAACGUGUACCCUCUCCGAACGGUUUUACACCUCAGUUUUCAGUGUAUGUGUAUGCGUGUGUGUAACUUCCCCUAUCACAGCUGUUAAUGUAUUUCAAACAUCAUUUCAGUGUUGAUUUGUUUGCCAUGUGCUCUGGCGCACACCCGCUCCAGGUUGGCAUGGCCCUGCCGGGCCCCGGUGCCAGCGCGGCUGGCAUGACAGCACCCAUUGCUGAUGGCCACAGGUGCAACCGUGUCCACAAGCUCUGAUGCAGGUGUUGCCUCAUCACCGAGUGUCAUUUUGAGAUUCUUCCAUCUGCUAUUGAAAGUUCUGUUGAACUCCCGCCUUUUUUCUCUGUGGUUUUUGUUUUUCUGCUUUUGAUCUCUCUCUUAUUCACAGAGAGGCGAGGUUGAUGUUUCACAAGAUCAUACUCAUAGACAAGAUUUCUCAUAAAGCCUCGCUUUCUGUUGGUGAGACUAAAUGAGCUUUGAAUGAUCUACUUUUGUGCAUUGCGAUAUUACAGAUGGAACUGUAGGAGCUGCGGAAGAUAUAUGGUCUUGUAGGUUGCUUCGAUCUCUUUUUCAAAGAAAAACAGUACACAGAAAUGCAAUUAAACUGAUACAAGAGCAUCAUUAUUGCAUCGUUCCAUUAUGUUGACGUGAGUCCGCAGCAAGGACUUUGUAGACUUCACAAGUGCACAGUGUAUACUUCACAAUCACAAGCCCUUGCUGUUGUCGCCAGUUGGUGCCAACGUCAUGUAGGAGCGGAGACCAACACUCUGCGUCAAUGUACGUUGAAACUGCAUCAGAGGUGAGCAGAAAACCACAAACUAAUGAAAAACUGAGAAGUCACGAUAAGUGCAGCUAAAUGAAAGAAUUACACGCUGUUUAUCUUGUCAUACCUCAACCCUGACCUGUGCUAUUGUCAUCUUAUAACAACAUUGUUUUUAUGGCGGUGAUUCAUCACCCGCCCAAACCGUAAUACAAUACUGGAGACCUACAGGCGGCACAAUUAAGUUUGUGUUUGACAGAGGGAGAUGUUUGUCUCCAUCGCACACUUGCAUACUUAAUAGAAGUUCCCCUCCCACGCUGACUGGCGUCUUUGAAGCUCUGGCCCCAGACGUCUUGCUCUUGUAAGCCAAGGAUGACUUCCAAAAAAAGAUCUUUGCCUGACCUUGCGAUUAGCAUUCGUUGGAUAUUUAGAUGAGGUGUAAUUACAAGUGUUAGAGGGAUGAAAUAUUUAUUCUAAGAGGGUUUUAACAAGCCGGUGUCUUUGAUGCAAAAGCUCAAAACAUGAUGUUAUAGUUUGAUGACUUUUAUUUUGGUCAGGAGUGUGUGCGGUUGUCAUUAGCUCUGAAUCGCUGUUAUCUCAUUAUACAAGUUUUUCUCAUUUUUGCUUUAAGGAAAGAUGCCUCGGAUCUUCUACUUCUUCUUAUUUAACUUAAAGGUAAGUCAUUUUGUUGUAGCGGUAAUGUUUUUUAUGCAUUUUAUUAUAGCAAAUUUGUUUUAAAUAUGUUAUGUUUAGGGUUCAGACUACUCCUCUACUGUUCUAUGUAAUGUGAUACUUACAUAAAGUUUUGUAUACAGUCUUGGCUUGUUUUGUGCAGGAACUUGUUUAUUGACUUUACUGUACACGAUUUAGAUCAGUAUUAGAUCUGACUUACACAUCUAGUAGCAUCUGUAAGCCGUAGUGAUCAGCUUCAGUUGUAUAAAACUGCAGGUGGUUAACUUUUUAAUGUGGCCUGAGGCUUUGGAGGCUCCUGAGAGUUUUAGGCAAUGGCCCCGAUUGCCUGUUUUAUAAUCCAGCUCUGCAUUGAAUAUGUGUGAAUCUCUAUUUUCUCCGCCCUUGGUGAGUAUAAUAUUUAAAUACUUAAGUUCAUUUUAACUGGUGUUCUUUUUAGCCAACAAUACUAAUGUCAGUUUUAACUGUACAAUGUUUAAAUACAAUCUGUACAUGCUAAACGUACCGUUCAUCUUCAAAUUUAAUUUGUUUUAAGUUUAGGGCUUGUUUUAUAUAAGGUGUGGUGUAUAAUGUGUCGUCCAUGAAGACCACCUUCACUCUUGAAGGGUUAAGGGUUCUCAUGAUGCCAUAGAAGAACCUUUUUUUUGGCUGAAUGGCUCCAUAAAGAACCUUUAAAGGGAUAGUUCACCUUCAAAAUGAAAAUUCUGUCACCAUA